rnacentral:rRNA from 1 species
CCUAACACAUGCAAGUCGAACGGUAACAGGAAACAGCUUGCUGUUUCGCUGACGAGUGGCGGACGGGUGAGUAAUGUCUGGGAAACUGCCUGAUGGAGGGGGAUAACUACUGGAAACGGUAGCUAAUACCGCAUAACGUCGCAAGACCAAAGAGGGGGACCCUCGGGCCUCUUGCCAUCGGAUGUGCCCAGAUGGGAUUAGCUUGUUGGUGGGGUAACGGCUCACCAAGGCGACGAUCCCUAGCUGGUCUGAGAGGAUGACCAGCCACACUGGAACUGAGACACGGUCCAGACUCCUACGGGAGGCAGCAGUGGGGAAUAUUGCACAAUGGGCGCAAGCCUGAUGCAGCCAUGCCGCGUGUAUGAAGAAGGCCUUCGGGUUGUAAAGA